UACAGAGGUCCCAAGCGUUGUUCGGAAUUACUGGGCGUAAAGGGCGCGUAGGCGGCGCGAUAAGUUGGGCGUGAAAGGCCCGGGCUCAACCCGGGGACUGCGCUUGAUACUGUCGCGCUGUGAGUCCGGGAGAGGAUGGCGGAAUUCCCAGUGUAGAGGUGAAAUUCGUAGAUAUUGGGAAGAACACCGGUGGCGAAGGCGGCCAUCUGGACCGGCACUGACGCUGAGGCGCGAAAGCGUGGGGAGCAAACAGG
rnacentral:rRNA from 1 species